GCCUCGUCCUCCCGCCUGCCCCGCCGCCACCACUUCUUCCUCAACACAGAUAUCUAACCUUGAUUGGAAGCAGAAGCCAUCCACUUUCAUUUCCACAGGUGCUCAUUAUUAGCAGAGAAGAAAAUGGGCAGUCAUUUUCAUGAUCAUUCAAUAUAAGUAAGGAAGGCAGAGAGUGGAUUAGUCUUUGUUUCUGGCCUGCCACAAAAGACAUCAAGCUACAAACUGCCAAAGUGCUAGUUCCAAUGAACAUCCAGAAACCAGAAGAGCUGUCAGACGAAACGUCGUGGAUAUCCUGUCUUCAUUUAUGUAGAAGGCUCAUAUGUGCGCCAUUGUUGAAGAGAACACCAACAGUGUGAUCUGACAGCUGGUACCCAAAGCCAUACUUGUUGGAGUAGUC